rnacentral:rRNA from 1 species
UACAGAGGUCCCGAGCGUUGUUCGGAUUCAUUGGGCGUAAAGGGUGCGUAGGCGGCGGGGCAAGUCUGAUGUGAAAUCCCGGGGCUCAACCCCGGAACUGCAUUGGAUACUGCCUUGCUUGAGUACUGGAGAGGGAACUGGAAUUUACGGUGUAGCAGUGAAAUGCGUAGAGAUCAUGAGGAAGACCAGUGGCGAAGGCGGGUCUCUGGACAGUUCCUGACACUGAGACACGAAGGCCAGGGGAGCAAACGGG